rnacentral:rRNA from 1 species
GAUUAAGUUAUUAAGGGCGCACGGUGGAUGCCUUGGCACUAGAAGCCGAUGAAGGACGUUACUAACGACGAUAUGCUUUGGGGAGCUGUAAGUAAGCUUUGAUCCAGAGAUUUCCGAAUGGGGAAACCCAGCAUGAGUUAUGUCAUGUUAUCGAUAUGUGAAUACAUAGCAUAUCAGAAGGCACACCCGGAGAACUGAAACAUCUUAGUACCCGGAGGAAGAGAAAGAAAAUUCGAUUCCCUUAGUAGCGGCGAGCGAAACGGGAAGAGCCCAAACCAACAAGCUUGCUUGUUGGGGUUGUAGGACACUCUAUACGGAGUUACAAAGGACGACAUUAGACGAAUCAUCUGGAAAGAUGAAUCAAAGAAGGUAAUAAUCCUGUAGUCGAAAAUGUUGUCUCUCUUGAGUGGAUCCUGAGUACGACGGAGCACGUGAAAUUCCGUCGGAAUCUGGGAGGACCAUCUCCUAAGGCUAAAUACUCUCUAGUGACCGAUAGUGAACCAGUACCGUGAGGGAAAGGUGAAAAGCACCCCGGAAGGGGAGUGAAAUAGAACCUGAAACCGUGUGCUUACAAGUAGUCAGAGCCCGUUAAUGGGUGAUGGCGUGCCUUUUGUAGAAUGAACCGGCGAGUUACGAUUUGAUGCAAGGUUAAGCAGUAAAUGUGGAGCCGUAGCGAAAGCGAGUCUGAAUAGGGCGUUUAGUAUUUGGUCGUAGACCCGAAACCAGGUGAUCUACCCUUGGUCAGGUUGAAGUUCAGGUAACACUGAAUGGAGGACCGAACCGACUUACGUUGAAAAGUGAGCGGAUGAACUGAGGGUAGCGGAGAAAUUCCAAUCGAACCUGGAGAUAGCUGGUUCUCUCCGAAAUAGCUUUAGGGCUAGCCUCAAGUGAUGAUUAUUGGAGGUAGAGCACUGUUUGGACGAGGGGCCCCUCUCGGGUUACCGAAUUCAGACAAACUCCGAAUGCCAAUUAAUUUAACUUGGGAGUCAGAACAUGGGUGAUAAGGUCCGUGUUCGAAAGGGAAACAGCCCAGACCACCAGCUAAGGUCCCAAAAUAUAUGUUAAGUGGAAAAGGAUGUGGCGUUGCCCAGACAACUAGGAUGUUGGCUUAGAAGCAGCCAUCAUUUAAAGAGUGCGUAAUAGCUCACUAGUCGAGUGACACUGCGCCGAAAAUGUACCGGGGCUAAACAUAUUACCGAAGCUGUGGAUUGUCCUUUGGACAAUGGUAGGAGAGCGUUCUAAGGGCGUUGAAGCAUGAUCGUAAGGACAUGUGGAGCGCUUAGAAGUGAGAAUGCCGGUGUGAGUAGCGAAAGACGGGUGAGAAUCCCGUCCACCGAUUGACUAAGGUUUCCAGAGGAAGGCUCGUCCGCUCUGGGUUAGUCGGGUCCUAAGCUGAGGCCGACAGGCGUAGGCGAUGGAUAACAGGUUGAUAUUCCUGUACCACCUAUAAUCGUUUUAAUCGAUGGGGGGACGCAGUAGGAUAGGCGAAGCGUGCGAUUGGAUUGCACGUCUAAGCAGUAAGGCUGAGUAUUAGGCAAAUCCGGUACUCGUUAAGGCUGAGCUGUGAUGGGGAGAAGACAUUGUGUCUUCGAGUCGUUGAUUUCACACUGCCGAGAAAAGCCUCUAGAUAGAAAAUAGGUGCCCGUACCGCAAACCGACACAGGUAGUCAAGAUGAGAAUUCUAAGGUGAGCGAGCGAACUCUCGUUAAGGAACUCGGCAAAAUGACCCCGUAACUUCGGGAGAAGGGGUGCUCUUUAGGGUUAACGCCCAGAAGAGCCGCAGUGAAUAGGCCCAAGCGACUGUUUAUCAAAAACACAGGUCUCUGCUAAACCGUAAGGUGAUGUAUAGGGGCUGACGCCUGCCCGGUGCUGGAAGGUUAAGAGGAGUGGUUAGCUUCUGCGAAGCUACGAAUCGAAGCCCCAGUAAACGGCGGCCGUAACUAUAACGGUCCUAAGGUAGCGAAAUUCCUUGUCGGGUAAGUUCCGACCCGCACGAAAGGCGUAACGAUUUGGGCACUGUCUCAACGAGAGACUCGGUGAAAUCAUAGUACCUGUGAAGAUGCAGGUUACCCGCGACAGGACGGAAAGACCCCGUGGAGCUUUACUGUAGCCUGAUAUUGAAAUUCGGCACAGCUUGUACAGGAUAGGUAGGAGCCUUUGAAACGUGAGCGCUAGCUUACGUGGAGGCGCUGGUGGGAUACUACCCUAGCUGUGUUGGCUUUCUAACCCGCACCACUUAUCGUGGUGGGAGACAGUGUCAGGCGGGCAGUUUGACUGGGGCGGUCGCCUCCUAAAAGGUAACGGAGGCGCUCAAAGGUUCCCUCAGAAUGGUUGGAAAUCAUUCAUAGAGUGUAAAGGCAUAAGGGAGCUUGACUGCGAGACCUACAAGUCGAGCAGGGUCGAAAGACGGACUUAGUGAUCCGGUGGUUCCGCAUGGAAGGGCCAUCGCUCAACGGAUAAAAGCUACCCCGGGGAUAACAGGCUUAUCUCCCCCAAGAGUUCACAUCGACGGGGAGGUUUGGCACCUCGAUGUCGGCUCAUCGCAUCCUGGGGCUGUAGUCGGUCCCAAGGGUUGGGCUGUUCGCCCAUUAAAGCGGUACGCGAGCUGGGUUCAGAACGUCGUG